CAGCCCUGUUCUCACCAGGUACAUUUUGUGUCGUCAAGACCAGAAGCUUCAGGAAUAAGAAUAUCUGGGCAUUCACCAGGGUUUGAGUGUCCAUUUUCCUGUGGCCUUACUUCAGAAGUGCUGAGUUCCUACUGAUCUCACUUUACUGAGGGCUACAAUUUGAUCAGUGCUGUUCCAGUUCUAUGCAUAAGACAACAGUAUUUUGAAAUGAG